CAAAUUUACAACUCUAAUAAUCGCCUUUUUGCAUCUCUAGCAGCAUUCAAGGACAGGAUCUGAUUGGAUCCUUUUUAUUAUGCUCUGUCUUUGUCUUGUUUUUUUUAACUGUAUACCCGAUGCUAAAUUUGUCUGUAUUUGGAAGCUGAAUGGAGUAGUUGGGGUGGCUGAAACUGGGAGCAGGUUUAUCCCUAUAAGAAAAUGAAUUGAGAACUGUCUGUGUCUGUUUUUAGAUGUCCUUGGGCAAAGCACCUUUGCAACUUCUUUCACAAUGCAGGGUUAAUGCACCUGCCCCUUGGUGCCACAACUCAUCACGAAGUCUCAAAGUUCAUGGAUAUUCUUGAAAAAUUGUGAUCUGGCCGUAUUUUGAAGCGUGUUUUUCAAAUUGCCUCGAUCCGACAUGUCUCUGCCGGGAGUCUUUGUUCUGUUUUGGUUGUCAUCUCUUCCCUCACUUGAAACGUUCACCUAAAAACUGACUUCAGACAAAGUAUGGUAAUAAAAUCUCAGAUCUAGAGGGUGAACAGCAUCUGUAUUCCGGUAGGUGUGUUCUGGAAACUUCCUUUUCACAGGCACAUGUAUUAAGCUGUCAUUUAAAGAGACAGGAGCUACACAUCUUAAGGAAAGCUGAUCUAUAGAGAAAUGCUCAUCAGAGACAGCAGUGGCAAGAGGGA
rnacentral:lncRNA from 1 species